rnacentral:rRNA from 1 species
UACGUAGGGGGCGAGCGUUGUCCGGAUUUACUGGGCGUAAAGAGCGCGUAGGCGGUUGGGCAAGUCCGAUGUGAAAGCUUCCGGCUUAACUGGAAAAUUGCAUCGGAAACUGCUCGGCUUGAAGGUGGGAGAGGGUAGCGGAAUUCCCGGUGUAGUGGUGAAAUGCGUAGAUAUCGGGAGGAACACCAGUGGCGAAGGCGGCUACCUGGCCCACUCUUGACGCUGAGGCGCGAAAGCUAGGGGAGCAAACGGG